CAGGCACAGAAAACAUACAUUUUACAAUACCCCAAAACACAUGUCAUAUCUCCUAAUAGCCCUGAAAUCCCGAACCCCUGAACCGAUCUGGGUUAUUUUUGGAUAUGUUUGUCCCACAGUUUGGUUCAGGGGUUUCCAUGGAAGUCAUAAUUUGACUGACCGCACAUGAGGCUCCUGACGAAAACCGUUCCAGAGAAUCAGGGCUUGCGGUCGGUCUAGUUCGGUAGUUUAAAUACCAAGCAAACUACCGAACGUAUUCAAGAGUCUUACCCUGGAGCUUGUUCGCCUUGUU